ensembl:lncRNA
UUUUUUUUUUUGUCUUUUUGCUAUUUCUUUGGGCCGCUCCUAUGGCAUAUGGAAGUUCCCAGGCUAAGGGUUAAAUCGGAGCUGCAACUGCUGGCCUACACCACAGCCACAGAAAUGCCAGAUGGGAGCUGCAUCUAUGACCAUAGCUUGAGGCAGUGCCAGAUCCUUAACCCACUGAGUGAGGCCAGGGAAUGAACCUGCAUCCUCACAGCAGAUAUUAUGUCGGGUUCUUAACCUGCUGAGGCACAACAGGAACUCCCUGAAAUGAUGUUUUUGAAUUUGUGUGUGCCAUGGGGAAACAACAAGGAAGGGAAAAAAUUAUGAGGCAUCACCUCAAUAAUGUAAAAGUGCACAUAUAAAAGACCCAAAGAAAAUAUGCUAAAUGUGGCCAAAUCUGCCAAUCCAUUUCUUUAUCAUUCUGAGAUUUCUAUCUAACUUAAGACGGUCUCCCUUGAUAGUCUUCCUAAUCUUUGUAUGAUCUGGCUUGUAACCCUACAUCUGGAUUUAAAACCCACUGGCAAUUUAUUCCUCUAUAAAGCAUAUUAUUGGCAUCCAAUUCUAUUUUCUUCUAAUAUCUUUAUUUAUUUAUUUAUUUUUGUCUUUUUGCCUUUUCUAGGGCCACUCCCUCAGCAUAUGGAGGUUCCCAGGCUAGGGGUUGAAUUGGAGCUGUAGCCGCCGGCCUACGCCAGAGCCACAGCAACUCGGGAUCCAAGCUGCAUCUGCGACCUACACCACAGCUCACAGCAACGCCGAAUCCUUAACCCACUCACUGAGCAAGGCCAUGGUUCCUAGUCAGAUUCGUUAACCACUGUGCCGCAACAGGAACUCAUGAUAUCUUUGAUUAGGACAAGAUAUUUAUUAAAUAUGAUAUCUUUUCCAAGUUAAAAUACAUCCAUGUUUCAAUCUACUUGUAAAAUCACCCAUCUUUCAGUGAUUUUUAAAAAAAUUUUGUGCCAAUGCUAUACUUUUUUUUUACUAGUAUAGUUAUGAUAUACUUUUAGUAUAUGGCACAAGUCUCCUCUUACUUGUUUUUUGUAAGCAUUUCUUGCCAAUAUUUGUGGCUCUGGGCUCAGCAAAAACAAAAAUCUUGGGUACUGACUGAAAUUGUAUAUUACAUAUACAUAUUAACAUCAAAAGGACUGAUACUUCAAAUACAGCUUCCCCAUCAAAUGCAUAUAGUAUAUUUCUCUUUUAGUUAGAUUUUUAAGUCCUUUAUUAAAAAUUUAUACUUCUAUGUUUCUUGCCUUUGGUAUGCACUGCUGUGGCAAAAUACAAAUACAAUAUAUACAAAGUAAAAAAGACUGGGAGAAAUGAUUUCCAACACUCUCUCCAACAAUUAGACUUCCUAAUACACAAAAAGCUUAUUUACAUAGUUGAUAAAGAACACAAGUCAUAACUGAAAAUUAAUUGAUGCAGCCACUAUGAAAUUCAUAUGAAAGUUCCUCAAAAAUUAUAAAUAGAACUGCUGUAUGACCCAGAAAUUCCAUUUCUGGGAAUAUAUCCCAAGGAAAUGAUGACAUUGUACUGAAGAGAUAUAUGCACCCCCAUGUUC